GCCCGGGUAGUAUAGCGGUUAGAAUUUUGGGGGUUCUUUUCUCCCCAGAAUGACUACUAUUGGGGACUGUGAAUCCUUAGAGGCGGGUUCGAUUCCCGCCCCGGGCC
rnacentral:tRNA from 1 species